ACACUCCUGCGGGAGGCAGCAGUGGGGAAUAUUGCACAAUGGGCGCAAGCCUGAUGCAGCCAUGCCGCGUGUGUGAAGAAGGCCUUCGGGUUGUAAAGCACUUUCAGCGGGGAGGAAGGCGAUACGGUUAACAACCGUGUUGAUUGACGUUACCCGCAGAAGAAGCACCGGCUAACUCCGUGCCAGCAGCCGCGGUAAUACGGAGGGUGCAAGCGUUAAUCGGAAUUACUGGGCGUAAAGCGCACGCAGGCGGUCUGUCAAGUCGGAUGUGAAAUCCCCGGGCUCAACCUGGGAACUGCAUUCGAAACUGGCAGGCUUGAGUCUUGUAGAGGGGGGUAGAAUUCCAGGUGUAGCGGUGAAAUGCGUAGAGAUCUGGAGGAAUACCGGUGGCGAAGGCGGCCCCCUGGACAAAGACUGACGCUCAGGUGCGAAAGCGUGGGGAGCGAACAGGAUUAGAAACCCGAGUAGUCCCA
rnacentral:rRNA from 1 species